AGGGCUGUGGCUCAGCAGUAGAGCAUUGGCCGUGCAUGCGGAAAACCGCAGGUUCAAUUCCCGGCACCUCCU